ACAGAUUACCGCAGGGGAGAGCAGGGGAGUGCCAGGGCGGAGCGGGGAAGGGGGGGCGCUGUUGGGUAAACUGCGGGCGGUCCCCAAAGGCACUGGGGUGCUGAGACGGGUUUGGUCCGGCCCAGUGGGACGAGCCCCCGCGGCAGGUGGGCGGGCCCGGGCAAGGGGUGGUACCCUAGGGCUAGGCGGCUUAGGAGCUGCGGCGGGCGUCUACAGCCGGGCGCUUAGACUCCGGACUCUGGGCUGCGGGCCCUGGGCGCGGCUCCACCCACGCAGACCUGGGGGCUGGCGGCGGCCUGAGGACACCCCGGCGGGUCUCCGCGGACCCGGGGCCCGCGAGGAUGCGCGCCCGGCCCGCCCUGGACGCGCCCCCCGGGGAGCCGCCCGGCCACCCCGAGGCCGCCCCGGUGCGCAGGAGCGCGGCGGACAGGCUGGCGGCUGACCGCGCCAAGUACGUGCGGGGCCCCGCGCCCGCGGGCAGCAGCUCCCGGGCCGAAGAAGGGGAAUCGGCGCCCCCGCCCCCGGUGGCACGCAGGGUCAUCGCGCGGAGGCCGCUGAGGCCAGACUCGCUGGUCAUGUACCGGCAGAAAUGCGAAUUCGUGCGCGGCCCGGACGGCCCCGGAAAGAAGCUCUUGCAGGUCCCGGCCAGAGGCCGGCCGGCCGCAACCCCAAACACGCCGGCCGCGGGGGCAGAGCGCAGGCCGGGGGCAGAGGAGGGCGGCCGGGCCAGGCGGGACCCCGCGGCGCCCAGCAAGAGUCUGGCUGCGACUCCUGCCCCGCCCGCCGGGGUCCCGGCUGCUAUUCCGGUGGCUCCCGCAAGGGUCUCAGCUUCGAGUCCCGCAGUGCCCUCCAAGGUCCCGGCUGUGACCCCGGCGACUUCUGUGGCUUCUGCCACGGUCUCGCCUGCGCGCCCGGCGUCGCCGCCCCCCGCCCCGCCCACCAGCCUCCGGGCCCCCGCACCCCCGGCCCCCGCAUCCCCGGCUCCCGCGCCCCCGGCCCCCGGCUCAGAACUGCGGGGCGUGCGGCGGCGGGGGUUGCAGCGCUCGCAGUCGGACCUGAGCUCGCGCCAGUCGGUGUCCAUGGCGGAACUGGCCGCCUUCUUCCAGUCCUGCGGGCUGGAGCCCGACGUGGUGGCCGCGCUGGGCCGCGACAACUUGGCCGGCGGCUCGGAGCGCGGGGUGAGGCAGCUGCGAAGCCUAAGCGUGGCCACCUCGGACAGCGGUUUCUCCCGGCGCAGCGGUAGCGUGGACGGGCUGCAAGAGGACGAGCUGGCCGGCCGGGUGCCCAGCGCCACUUCGGUGGUGGAGAGGAACGCGCGCAUCAUCAAGUGGCUGUACACCUGCAGGAAGGCCAAGGAGGCUGCGGGCCAGGGCCUGCAGGCCCGGUGACCAUCCCGGGAGCCAGAUGGCAGGUCUGCCAGAACUGAGGUCUCCCUGCUUUCCUGUCUUCUACAUAGAAGAAUUUAAAAUGAGAAAGAAAAUGAUGCUGGAAAAUGCAGACAAUGGGAAACUAAUGACUUAAAGGAGCAAAUGUUGCCAUGUGUUUGAUUUGGCAGCUUUUCCCGCGGUUGAUGCUGAUUCAUGGCUUUCUCCUGCUCUCCAGAAAGUAAGCUUCCCCAGGAACUGGCUCACUGAAGCACACCGGCGUGACAUAGGAUGCCAGCCCAAAGGUUUGCCCAGGGCUCCAGAUGCCCACAGGAUUGCUGUUUCCCCCACAGAAGGCACCUCAUCAAAGAAGCUUAUUUCAUAAAGUCUGAAAUGCUAUGGAUUGGGACACAGAACUUAGCCAAGUGAUAACUGGGAACAGAAAUACAGCUGAGGCCCUAGACACAUCCUCUUCUGUGAGGUUGACCCACCUUUGUUGUACAGAGGGCAGCAAUAGUGGGAAGGGCUGCCUGGCAAUAUUUGCUGAUCAUCUUUCUGGUGGGAUAGCUGACAUAUAUGUACGUGGGGCAUGUGACAAUAUCUAAGUUGAUGUUGAAAGCAAAAAAAGGCAAAGAACAUGAAAAUCAAGUGUGA